AUUGAACGCUGGCGGCAGGCCUAACACAUGCAAGUCGAACGAGUGGCGGACGGGUGAGUAAUGUCUGGGAAACUGCCUGAUGGAGGGGGAUAACUACUGGAAACGGUAGCUAAUACCGCAUACCAUCGGAUGUGCCCAGAUGGGAUUAGCUAGUAGGUUGGGUAACGGCUCACCUAGGCGACGAUCCCUAGCUGGUCUGAGAGGAUGACCAGCCACACUGGAACGGAGACACGGUCCAGACUCCUACGUGAGGCAGCAGUGGGGAAUAUUGCACAAUGGGCGCAAGCCUGAUGCAGCCAUGCCGCGUGUAUGAAGAAGGCCUUCGGGUUGUAAAGUACUUUCAGCGGGGAGGCGUUACUCGCAGAAGAAGCACCGGCUAACUCCGUGCCAGCAGCCGCGGUAAUUC
rnacentral:rRNA from 1 species